GUAGAGCAGUGAAUGACACCGCAAUCAGAUUUUAAAGGCCAGCUGAGGCAGUGGCAAGAGAUGUGUUUUUUCCUGUUGCACAACACAGGCUGGAUGGCAUUUCUAUUUUAUUUUCUCAGAAUAAUGGAGAAGGGCAGUUUUAUUACAUAUGAUUACAGGGAUUAUUCAUUUUUUGUCCUGUGGUACCGCUUUGGAAUCCCUCUUCUGAAUCAACACCCCCCCCUUGUUGUAGACACCGUACAAACACCGUAAGAAAAAGAAGAGGGAAAGCCAACAAAAAUUACAACGUGAAAAUGAAAGCUGACAAUAACAACAACAAAAAAAAAGCGAGCAGAAAACCAAACACAGACGAAGUGCACACAGAGCUGGGCACCAACAUGAGCUGCGGAACAGAGGGAAGAACAAUGCGAGCAGCGGUGAUGGGAAACUGGAAAAACAAGAGAGGCAUUUAUAAGGGAUGGGUGUACAGCCUGAGCAGCGCUGAAUAGCGUCACACCUGAUAACAGAUCCUUUCUCAGAGCGGAGCACGCAGCUCAGCAAUGCACUGCUGACUGGGGUGGGAUGCGCUUCCAAAACCAUCCGGACAGCAGCUGGGGGCACUUUGCUGAAACGUUUUGUGGUUAAAAACCAUAUCCGUGGCUGAACGUGGGGUCAGGUGUUUGGUGGCUAUAGAGCCACGGAACCAGCGUGGAGAUGUGGCACUCGGGGACUCAGUCAGUGGGCGCAGUGGGAUGGGUUGGGGUUGGAAUUGGGGUUUGGAGAGUACAUUUCCUACUGUAAUGGUGUUAUGAGUGAUUCUAUGAGCACAUCGAUCCCACCCCUCCCUGGGCAGCAGUGCCAGCACUCGGCUGCUCUUUCGGAGCAGAAAUGUUUCCCA
ensembl:lncRNA